UCGUUGUUGGUGGUGGUUUCUGCUCGUCGUCGUUGCUGCUCGUCGUCGUUGCUGCUCGUUGUUGGUGGUGGUCAGUGUGGAACUAUCGUUGUUGGUGGUGGUCGUUGCUGGUCGUCGUUCCUCGUCGUCGUUGCUGCUCGUUGUUGGUGGUGGUCGUUGCUCGUCGUCGUUGCUUGUCGUCGUUCCUCGUCGUCGUUGCUGCUCGUUGUUGGUGGUGGUCAGUGUGGAACUAUCUCUGAGUUUCUGUAGUUGAAGAUGAAAGGUCGCGCGAAAGGGUUUUUGGAACUGAUUCAAUUUGAGUAGUGUCGUUUUUUGUUCUGUUUUGAGUCUUGUUAUGUCGUUUUGACUGUAAGUUUUGAGUGGGUAAAAACUAAAUAUCUAUAUUUGACAAUAAAGCACAAUGGCACAUGUAGUAAUUUUAGUGCUCUUCAAUGUUAUUUUAGUAAAAGUAGGUGUUACUUUAUUGUCUUUGGUCUUAUAUUAAUUAAGUAAAAUUGUAUAUCUAUCUUUCAAAUUAGUAAAGUAUUUUAUGUUUUAAAACUAAAGCUCCCUAGAAUUUAUUAAUUGCUAAUAGUGGCACGCUCACAAUUCACAUUUUUACAAAAUCUGUUCUAAGACUUUGUUGCUUUUUUAAGGGUAUCACUUGAAUAUCCAUAGUUUUUAAUUAAACAUAACAAAGAAAAGAAGGGAAAGGAGAAAAAAGACCAGUUGAAAUAAGCUAGCAUUCCUAUUUUUCAUUUUCCCCUUCCUCUUCCAUUUCCACGGCAAAGUUAAAUUAAACAAACUCCAAGGUUUAAGCUACAGAGACUUCUAAACCAAGGAAGACAAAGCUCAAGGGAUUUAUGCCCCAUUUGGGAGUG
rnacentral:lncRNA from 1 species